rnacentral:rRNA from 1 species
GCUCGAGUGGCGAACGGGUGAGUAACACGUGAGUAACCUGCCCUUGACUUUGGGAUAACUUCAGGAAACUGGGGCUAAUACCGGAUAGGAGCUCCUGCUGCAUGGUGGGGGUUGGAAAGUUUCGGCGGUUGGGGAUGGACUCGCGGCUUAUCAGCUUGUUGGUGGGGUAGUGGCUUACCAAGGCUUUGACGGGUAGCCGGCCUGAGAGAGUGACCGGCCACAUUGGGACUGAGAUACGGCCCAG